rnacentral:rRNA from 1 species
CCGGCACGGGUGAGUAACACGUAUCCAACCUGCCGUCUACUCUUGGACAGCCUUCUGAAAGGAAGAUUAAUACAAGAUGGCAUCAUGAGUUCACAUGUUCACAUGAUUAAAGGUAUUCCGGUAGACGAUGGGGAUGCGUUCCAUUAGAUAGUAGGCGGGGUAACGGCCCACCUAGUCUUCGAUGGAUAGGGGUUCUGAGAGGAAGGUCCCCCACAUUGGAACUAAGACACGGUCCAA